AUUAAGAAAUAUAUUUAUGAAAUUGUAUUCUAACAAACAAAGAUUAUUUUGCAUAGAACGAUGAGAGAGAAGAGAUCAUCACGGUCAAUUCACGAGAAAAGAGGCUCACAUAUAUAAUUUUUAUACGAUUCUUAUUUCAAUCAUAAAUUGAGGUAGAUCAAUCGACUCGAUUAGAUAUAACGAGCUGUAAUCAAGUGGUUGUCUGAAAUCUGUCUAUCGAUUAUUUAAAUACACCACUGAAAAAUAAGUUCAAUUCGAAAUAGUGUAAAUUACAUUUUAAAAUUUAAGGAAUCUUGGUAUAACUUUGAAUGAUCGAGAUUUCUUAUUGAGAAACAAUGAUAUUCCCUCUCCCUGAUUUUCAUCUUAGAUAACAUCUGUAUAUCGAGGGUGCAGUAGAUGAUAGAGGAGAGGGUGCAGGAAAGGGUUCUGCAGGCCAUUUGCAACCCCCACGGAACUGGGCAAACCAGACAUAGAGUCUCGAGACUCCUAUCAUCUUAACAGCCAUAUUGAAUUAUGGUUAUUACGACGUCCCGUCCUUACGAUAUUUCGUGUCCUUUGAAAUACCGGGAAAUUGGCCGAUCGCGAGUUACGCGUUUUCAAUAUAAACUCAAAACUGCUCGAAGAUCGAAGUUCUUUCACAGCUGAGUUCCUGAAGCCAGAGCUGAGGCUGAAGUAGGAAACUCUCCGUUCCUAGGAGAGUCCUAGGUAAUCACCGAACUUCGUCGCUCCCCCAGGAACGGGCUACCCCAUCGACGUUCGUCCCUCACCCCUCUUUGCAACAGGAGCCGAUAUAACUUUGUUCCUGGGGGUGCAGUACUGCUUCACGAGGCUGGCUUUCGGUCCUAUGGUCAUCUCACUCGCUCACUCACUCUAAGGAUGAUGACGACGAUGGCGAAUCUUCUCAACGAGUCUCUGUGCACGUUCUUACAAUACAAGAAUGAUGAUAACAUUGGUCGAGAAUUUCUCUCCUAUCAUAGAAAUUCAAAGCAAAGCGGGUCGAUGAACAAUAAGGUCGACGAAUAGAUCCACCUAUCUUAACAAUGGUGGCUUAUUAUCUUGAACAAAAGCGCCUUUCUGCUUUCCCUCAAGGGGGUGGUCCAAGAAACCCCAGGAAAGACGCGAACACUGUAAGCCUACUAAUGGAUUCCUUCAGCAGCAGCUGUCGUCUUAAGAUUGACCGACUUCAAACGGAUUAAUCUCGACAUCCAUGACACUCGACUUUCUAUAAAUUAGGGAUCCGAAUUCAACAAAACUUUCACACCAAUGAGCGUUGAUCUGACGAUAUCUUCCUUCUAGUUGUUUGUUGUUCGCAAGGGAGAUACUUUACCGAAUUAUUGUUUACUUUUGAUCUUUAUGACAUCGAUAAUAAAAUUUUGCUUUAAAUUU